GUGUAGUCGGGUAUGAGAACGAUUGCAAGCAAAAGCAGCUGAGGGACGCUGUCCAAGGAGUAGGCUCAGUAGCACGAACUGCAAAUACUUGAGAAGGGAAAAGUUCAGCCUUGUGCUGGAAAGUGGUUUAGCAUGCUGGAGCUGGUUUUCUGCUUGGUAGCCCUACAACUUUGGCCCAACUACUUGGCCUCUGGGACUCAGAUUCCUCCUCUUUAAAAUGGUGCUAAUAAUAGCACCCACCCUCUGUGAGGAGGAUGCUGUGAGGACAAAAUGAGAUCAUCCACAUAAGCCGUGAACCCUGUUCCUGGUAAGGAGCUUCUAAAAUAUAUAUUUCAGAAAUAAGGAAAAUGCUUUCAGAAAAACUGAGUUCAAGAAGAAAGGGUGAGCGAAAAUAAAGUGGUAAAUGUCACAAUGAUGCAAGAGGUGGGUUCCGACGGCCUUGGGCAGCUCCGCCCCUAUGGAUUUGCAAGCUCCUGGAAAGAAGUCUAUGGAUUAUACUCAACCUACACUCCAGUUAAAGGAACAUCUACACACAGAGGAAAUGAAUAACAUGAAGUGAAGUCUUCAUCUCCAUUCCCAACAGUCCCCAUUCUACUUGCAGAAAGGUUGCUUACACUGAAAAUCAGUUUAUUUUCCCCUGGUGCAAAGAACAGUCGUUUCUCCAAAACUGAAGCUGGAAAUUAUCUGAAAUAUCAGGUCCUCCGGAAAAGGGACGUGAAGCCCCCUUUGUAAUUUCUGCAUUAGCGUGCUCUCCUGGCAAGCAGGAAACCUCAUCAGAGAAGUCAGCCAAGGAAAGUCUUUAAAUGGAAAUUGUGCAAACGAGGAGCAAAUGCAUUAAAAAGUUGCUGACGGGCAUGAAAUGCUUUGAUGUGAAGACGGAAAACUCCAAGCAGGAAGGAUUUUAACAUUUUGAAUCUGAUUGACUCUGUGGUUUCUCAGCACAGUUAUUCCAUGGGCUAAAAUAAAUGCAGAAAUGGUACUUUCAGACCACAGCUGCAGAGGGGAUCGUGGUGAAUUUCAAUGAAAAUCCAUUUGAAUCUUGAGGUUCAGAUCUUAAAAAAGCAAAGGACAUGAGAGAAGUAAUAUUGUUGCUUGAAAUUUCAUUGCUUAUAUCUAAAAGAAACUCCUAUUUUUAAGAGAAAUGUUGAAUCUUUGCAACGUGGUAGACGCUCCCACAAAACUUUCUCCUGAAAUAGGAGAUAAAUGUUGGAAAGAGGCAAUGUAUUGAGUAUGCUGAUAGAGGUGGAGUUCAGAGACAGGCAAGCAUACAUAAGAGUCAGGAUGUUUUUCAGUAUUAUCUUUACAAAUGAGUUUCUUACAGUGGUCAAUGACAAACCAAUUUCAUUCAAAGCUUGCUUCAAUAGGCAAUGGUUUGAUGCCAAUAUGUUAGCUAUUUACUUUGACCACCGUAUGCAUUAAAAAGAAGAAAAAUUAAGAAUACUCAAGCAGAACCUCCAACUUAGAUAGCACUUUCCACAAAAAGUAAUGGAGGGAUAGACUGAAGUUAAAUGGGAUCAGGUAUGUGAUGAGAUCUCAGAAGUGUUUGCACAAUAAUGCAGAUACUCAUUUUAAACAGAGUCAUAAGGAUUGGAACUAAUAAAAAUAAUAGAAUAAAAUACCGAUCAAGAAUGUGUCCUCCUGCGUAUCUGGGUUUUGAAUUCUGGCUCCACAGAACUUGUCAGAUAUAUGACAUUAAACAAGAUACUUCAACAUUCUGUGCCUUCAUUUUCUUAGCUGUAAAUAGAGAUUUUACUAGAACUCUAUAAGAUUAUCAUGAGAAUUACAUUAAUAUAUGUAAAGCUUUAGACAUAGUAUAUGGCACCUAGUAAGCACUCAAUUAAAUGUUAGUUACCAUUAGUAGCAGUGUAGAAUUAAAAAACAAAAACUGCAAACUGUAAGUUAGGCAUCUGGCUCUGCAAACUAGUGGAAUUCCCCAGACCUUAUUCUGGCCAUCUGUAAAAUGAAAGGGUUGGGCUAGAUCAUCUCUAAAUUUCCUUCCAACUUAAAAAACAUUGUUCAAAAACACAUUUUAGGAGUACGCAAAGUAUUUCAGCAGAAGGCGAUGUUUUAGCAGAAUAUUUUUAAAGGCACUUAAUCACUUUCACAAAAAAUGUGUUUCAUGGCUUGUACUUCCUCCUCUAUCAACUC
rnacentral:lncRNA from 1 species